CCUAUUUUCUAGAUUACAACUAGAACUAACUAGAACUAGAACUAGAGGAACUAGAACUAGAACUAGAUGAACUAGAACUAGAUCUAGAUGAACUAGAGGUAGAACUAGAGGGAUCCUCUCUACUUGGAUGAAGAAUUGAAACCCUAGCUUUGAUUCUGUAGAAGAGGUAUGAUCUCCAAGGGCUAGGGGACCUUGCUUAUAUAGUCUUUUCAGAUGAAUCUGGGCCGUCGGAUCAAACCAACAUUGAUCGUGUGGUUUUCCUUAAAGUAUUAGGUCGGGGGAGCAUGAUCCCCGAGCUUCACCCUGAAUGGUCCAGGGGGGAGGGCGGGUGCCCAGUAAGGGAGGGCGGGCGCCCAGUGCCCGGCCCCGUCACGUCUCCCGUUCGCUCCCGUGGCUUCUGGAGUCUUCUAGAUGAUAGAAAAUUGCGCGGCACGUUAAUAUCUCUAUGUAAACCCGACGUGUGGGCCUUUCUUCCGUAUUUCCUGAUAACCCCCUGCAGAAAUAGACAAACACCAAAACUCAUGGAAUUCUGUCAGAUAAAACCCUAAGUCUGGGUGUUGGUUGCAUAUGGAUCCUUUUCCAUGAUUAGUUGAUGGUUAAAUGUGAGCAUUAAGGACCGUCAACAAGCUCCCCCAAGCUUAACCUUUGCUCGUCCCACAGCAAAGAUGAACUCAAGAGUGUCUGCAGUGGUUUCAUGCCUUAAAGAUAUACAUGCGUUCAAACAAGAUCUCAUCUCUAGGUUAGGGUAACUGUUAAGAUUUAAACUUACUCAUAUUACCUUCCACCAUGGGUCUUGCAACCGUCACUUGUGUCUUGAGUAGUUAAAAGAUAGAACGGUCUAGUCAAGCACCAUGUCUCUUGUUCUUCGAUUAACUAUAGCUCUAGAGUUUUUGCAGAUUUUCAAAUAAAACUCAGAGAUUCCUUGUAUGACUCUCUCUAGUCUCUCUUUUGUGGUAUUUCUGGAUCCUUACCAAGGCAGUAAUGGUGUAUGCCUUCUCUCAAAGUAUGUGGUAUUUUUGGUAUAAGGCAUAGUGACAUUGCCUUCUAGCUCACCCUACUCUAAUAAGGUUUUGAUAUCUGGAGCUCAUAGGUGGAAGACAGCUAAUACAUAGUUACAAGACAUUUAUUGCAUAGUCAAACCAUGGAUCCAGAGAAACUAGUCAAUAAUUCAAAUCAAGAUGUGCAUGUCUGGCGAAUGAAUGGUGUAUGGUGGUGAAAAUAAUGGUGAAAGUCUAAUUCUACUUUUGCUCUUUUAAGAGAAUACAUACCUUCCUUGCUCUUUUGAAACUUUUGGGGAUAAUGAGAUGCUUUGUAUUUUCUUUUUCUUACCUCUCAGGUGGGUAUCUUGUACCUCUAAUUCUACUAUCGGACACUUGUCCAUUUUUACCUCUUGUCUCACUUUUUCUUUUCUUUCGAGGUUCCGGGCACUUGCCCCUUUUUAUUUCCUCGUAUCUUUUUUUUUCUUUUUUUAGCACUCAUCUCAUGAGAUAAUAUAGCAAGUGGUAGUAACAAGAUAACUUGAGCAUUUAUUUUACAAGAGAAAACAGAAAUAUUUUUGGCUAUUCUCUCCCUGAUUAGGAGUAGAAUAUUUUUGGGUGGUUCUGGAGAUGGAAAUAGAUGGAUAUAUGUGGAUGCGUACUUCCGGAGUAGAAGCAGCAUGUAUGAGUGAACGUGCAAGUCAAUCUUGAUUUUAACCACGUGACAAGCUCCUAAGGGUCUACACAGCUUGACCACACUCAAUGCUCAUAAGCAGUAAAGUAAAUGUAUGGUUUAUAGUCUAACAAGCAUGUAUAUAUGACUGUGGUAGGAUUUUAAACUCUCAUCAUACAGGAACUCAUCAUGCAACAUUUUAAAGAUUUUCAAAGAUAAAUAGCAGCUCAACCUUCCCAUAUCAUAUCCGUUAACGACUUAGACUUUAGAUCAAGUACUCUCCCCACAAGUUCAGGUUUAGAGCAAAUUUUAAUUAAUAUCAGUCAUGCCUAAACUUGAGAGAGAUUUCAAUUUUGAGAACUAGUCACGGCAGAGCAACUGUAACACCCUAAAUUUUGCUUCUUUGAAAAUAGAGCUAAAAUAAUUUAUUUUUUAUUUCUGUGCUCAUGAAAAUAUAGUAAAAUGAAAUUUUUACUUAAACUAAAAUUCAUCAUAGGGUUUAGCUACAUUGUUGUGCAUACAUGCUGGUACAUAUGUUUUAUGUAAUGUUUGAUUGUUACUCCUUUAUGUGUUGAGAGUGAGCAAAGUUUUUGAAAUGUGUUUAGUAGAUCGAUCUUCCUUGGUCAGUACAUCUUUACCUUUAUCUACAACCAAAUUCCUUGUUUCUAAGCUCAAGUUUUUAUUAGGAGCUUCCUAAAAUCUUUUCUUUAUCACUCAAAGCACUUCUUUUAGUUCCUCGUCCAUCAAGAAAUCUCUACAAACUUUUCGAGAAUGUUCUCACUUUUCUGUGAGCAUAAUCUAAUUUUUAGAUGCUCCAUAUUAUCUCAUCAUGAGCUCCAAAUACUUUAUUUGGGUUCCCCAUAUUCCAUAAUGUCUCUGAGAAUUUUCCUCGAAUUUUUGGAGCUUUCGGAGUAUUUUUCGUGGCUUAAAUAAUAAUUCUGGAUUUUUCUAGAAUUAUUUUAUCCAUGAAAUUAAUGAAUUCUGAAAAUAAUAAAUCUCUCAUUUGUCUCUAACGCUCAAGGCCCAUGUCUUUAUUUACUAAUGGGCUUGAAUAAUUAAUUAGGCCUAUUAGUAAAGAUAAAGGUUGCAAAUCAAAUAGUACCAUAUCGCUAGUUGACGUGGAGGUAGGGAGUUUUUCUCCCAAUAUAUAUGUACCAAACCCUUGGAUUAAGUACAUCAAAACUACUAUAAGAGGAGCCCCUAGCUUGGGAAUCCUAAAGUAGUAAAUAAUAUUUUUUUCUCAUCUCCUUGCCACGUUGCUGCCGGCCAACUCCUUCGUUUGUUGAUUCAUCACUAUGGUUGUUAGCCCUUAGUCGAAGAUGAGCACACUGUUCCAUUCUUGCUCAAUAUCUUAUCUACAUUUGCAUGCAUCUCUUCCAUAUUAGAAAUCAUGUCAUCCUCGUGCUCUGGCAGUGAGCUAGCUUCAGGUUGCCAGUGUUGUAAUUUCGCAAGUCGCCGCCGCCGCCGCAGAGAACUAGUCGCUGAGUUGUGCCUCCAACUUGAUAUCACCGUCUCGCUGUCGCGUCGCCUCCGAAGCACCGCCGUCAUCUUGAGUCGCCAUCCCGCUCGAGUCGGAUCUCCCAAACGACGGAGCAUGUAUGCCUGCAACCACCACGGACAUCGUAUGUUGCCCUGUC
rnacentral:lncRNA from 1 species